AUUGAACGCUGGCGGCAGGCCUAACACAUGCAAGUCGAGCGGAUGAAGGGAGCUUGCUCCUGGAUUCAGCGGCGGACGGGUGAGUAAUGCCUAGGAAUCUGCCUGGUAGUGGGGGAUAACGUCCGGAAACGGGCGCUAAUACCGCAUACGUCCUGAGGGAGAAAGUGGGGGAUCUUCGGACCUCACGCUAUCAGCUGAGCCUAGGUCGGAUUAGCUAGUUGGUGGGGUAAAGGCCUACCAAGGCGACGAUCCGUAACUGGUCUGAGAGGAUGAUCAGUCACACUGGAACUGAGACACGGUCCAGACUCCUACGGGAGGCAGCAGUGGGGAAUAUUGGACAAUGGGCGAAAGCCUGAUGCAGCCAUGCCGCGUGUGUGAAGAAGGUCUUCGGAUUGUAAAGCACUUUAAGUUGGGAGGAAGGGAAGUAAGUUAAUACCUGGCUGUUUUGACGUUACCAACAGAAUAAGCACCGGCUAACUUCGUG
rnacentral:rRNA from 1 species